GUUUUAGUACCUCGGUAAUGAAAAUCUAAAUAUUAAUUUUGUAAGUUUUUUAAGAAAGUAUGUUAGUUGUUUAGAAAAAAUAAUUAUCUAUGUUUAUAGAACAAGAAAUAUUGAUUUCUUCAAAGAAACUAAUUUCUACCAAUUGGUCCUCCAAAUAUUGAAAAUAAAAACAUCUUGGUAACUGAUCUCGAAUGUAACAUAGAAACUAUUAUCAAUAUCUUCCCCCCAGAAUCUGAAAUCAUUUGCUUAAGAGUAAGACCAAGUAAGAAACGGUUCAGAGAUGCUCAUAUUUGUUCCUGACAAACAAUAACAGCUUAUUUUACCAAAACUGAGUAUCACCCAACAGUAAACUUAAGAAAUGAGACCGAUGAACACUAGGAACAACAUUCCAAUCCGGAAAACCAUUUCCAACCCAACUGGAUGGCUAAUGUCUGGAUUGCCAAUUUCUCACCAAAGUUGAGAUUUCCUUUUUGAAAAAUUAUGCAAAGGCCUUACGGCUGACGAGAACCUCAAAAAGAGUCAUAUACAUUAGUUGUUAGAUACAAAUUAUUCAAAACAUAACAACUCACGUGAUGAUGCCAUAGAAGCAAAAAUUUAAAACAAAAAUUACUUACAAACAAACUAACCAACAACUUAAAUUAAUAAAAUAGUAUAUAUCAAUACUAACCAAAUGUUCAUUAUGCGACGUUUCUAUAUUGAAAAAAAUUUGUUAUGGAACUAAUAUGAUCUUUAUUAUGCCACCGAGAAAGUGCCAUCUCAAUAAUCUGCAAAUCAAUGCAGUGGUUGUUAUUAGUAUAAACAAGUGGAAAAGUUCUUGGAGUUGGUUUUACGGCGAGUAACAAGUGCCUACACUUAUCAACCACAACUCAGUUCUUACACUUUCAUGUUUCAAUGUUUUCUCACUUUGAUUAGCUUUGCUUUACUACCUUCUUUGCACUCAAUAUAACAUUCUACUUUUAAUAAGAAAUGCAACUUCAAAUAAUCACCACUUCCAUUCCAAUAGCACGUCGAAAGACUAUUAUUUCAACAUGAAAGUAAAUUAUCCUUAUAACAUACACAAAAAUUACCACACUCCAAUCCUUCCGAACCUAAAAUAUUACAAACCACAAUUAACGCACCGAAUAUGAUAUAAAUUUUUUGUAAAAGGAAACAAUAUGAAAACCAUUUGAAGUCCUCACAACAUAUCAAUGACAUGUCUCUUUAAUAUAGAAACAACUAUUGUUUUCUUUUGGACAAAAAACUAUUGUAAACAAGCAAAACAUAUUUUCUCACGUAUAAUUUCUCCUCGCCUAAAAUUUUCUAAAAGACAAAAAUCAUUAACAUAUACAUCUUUUGCAAAUGCAAACCUUAAACGCCAACCACAAAAUCAUACAUAAAAUAAUAAUCUAAAUCACAAGUAAAGUAUAUCCCGCCCGUAGGACGGACCGACCCUAGUGUUCUUAUAUUUUAUUGUUGCCUUGUCCAAAUAUAUUACCAAAUUAAUAUUUCAAUAUUACUUGAAAUAGGAAACUAUAGUACAUCACCUUUUGUUUAAUUGUUGUUGCUUUCUAAUUCAAACUAGUAUUAAUAUGUAUUUUUAUUAAAAAUUGAUUAAAAAUAAAUAAAAAUAAAUGCAUCAAGUACCGAUAAAAAAUGUUCACAUAUCUUACAAUUUUAUGAUACCAAAUUUUAAAUUUGGAUUUGUUAGAUCCAAAAUAACAAUUAUUCAUAUCCAGAUCUGCCUACAUAAAAAAAAAAGAAGAUCUGCCUACAUAAGAAUAUCAUAUAUAUAAAUGAACAUAAAUAAUUAAAUAAUAUUCUGGAGUUAUAAUUUUAUCUUGAAAAGAGAAUAUAAUGAUGAUGAAUUGUUCGACUGAGGCUGUAAAAAUUUCGAUGUAUAAGUUUAGUUGUAGGUAAAUUGGUUGUUAAAGUUUUUACUGUAUGUUUGUUUUUGCAAAGACAUUUGUUUUAGGUGAAUUUGUUAAUUGUAGUUGUAAUGUAUAUGCUGUAGAUAUUUUAAAAUAAAAUAUUUUAAUAAAAUAUGUAAAAUAUGUCAUGUAUAUAUAAAAGAAUUAUUUUUUCAAUUAAGAUAAAUUAUAUUAAUAUUUUUUUAUAAAUUAUCAAAAUUUACUGUUAUUUAAAAUGCAAUAUUUAAAUAGUAUUUAUGUUAUUUAAAAUAUUUCAGUAAUUUAAAAAAAAACUAAAAUUAAAAUUAAAUAUUAAUAGAUAUUUUUAUUAUGAUUAUCUAAUUUAUAUAAUAUUAUAGAUAAUUUGUUCUUUAGUUUACAGAUUUUACAGCAUAUGUAAAAGAAAAAUGUAAGUUUUUACCCUAAAAUACAUAAAAAAAAUUGUUUUCUUUUUCUUACUGUAGCUUUAAAAGUAAAGGUAAAACAUGGUUAGUAAAAUUUAAUAGAAACUUAAUACUGACUUUAACUUUUAAAAAUAAAGCUAUAUCGUAGUUCAUAAAGUUUAGUCAUUUAAAAAUAAAUAAAACUAAAAAAGGAAGAUAAAAACCCAACUAAUCACAUAUACUAAAAAAGGAAGAAAAAGGAAGAUAAAACUAAUAUUCACCCUUAAUACUUAUUUUUAGUAAGUUAAUGUACACCGACCAAGCAAACUAAAAGCACUUACGUAAUUGUAAUUCAGUAUUUUCUCAUUUUUGGAAAAUAUUGACUUUUCUUUUGCCGUCCAAAAAAAGAAGACUUUUCAUUUGAUCAUUGGGAAAAUCGCAUAAAAAUAUUGAGAGUGGCACAUAGUCACACUUUAAACUUUGAAGUUUUUUCACUAGCACUUUAAACCUUUAAAGUAAUAUUUGUAUCACAAAAAACCUUCAACUUGGUUUACUUGUUCUUCAAGUUAAAAACUGACUUGUACAAUAGGUAAUUAUGAUGAUAUGUCAGUUUUUUCGAAAAAAUAAUAAUUAUUUAAUUAAUAAAAUUAAUAAAAAAAUUGUAAAAAUCAUAAAAAUUACUAAAAAAAAUGGAAAAUCAAAUAAAAAUUCAGAAAAUUAAAUAAAAAUUCAGAAUAUAAAAAAUUAGAAAAAUAAUUUUUUGAUAAAAAAUUCAUAAAACUAAAUAAAAAUUCAAAAACAAAUAAGAUUAAAUUAAACUACAUAAAUUAAAUAAAAAUAUAAUAAAUAAAUAAGAUUAAAUAAAAAUACAGAAAUUGAAUAAAAUUCAGAAAAUUAAAGAAAAAUCACAAAAAAAAUUCAUAAUAGUUUUUGUAAUCAUAAGAUUUUUAAUAAAAAUCAAACAUGUCAUCGUUGAAAAUAACAGUUUCAAGCAUAUCACUAAUAACGAUGGUGGUUUCUCACAUAAUCAUUUACAGUGAAGUUUUGACAUAGCUAUCGUUUUGAAUGAUGGUUGCCGAAAACAUCAUAAUUUUAACAAUGAUAUCGGAAAUUAUCGUUAGAGAUAUGACAAAACGUCAUUGUUAAUGGUUAUAUGAGAAACCACCAUCGUCAUCAGUGAUAUGUUUGAAAUUUUUAUUGUCAGCAAUGAUAGGUUUGUUUUUAUAAAAAAAAACUUGUAAUAAGAAAAAACUAUUUUUGAAUUCUUUUUUUAGUUUUUAGUUUUUUCUUUCAUUUAACUUUCUGUAUUUCAAUUUAAUCUUAUUUAUUUAUUUAAUAUUAUGUAUUUUAAUUUAAUAUAACUUAUUUUGAUUUUUUUUUAAUUUUAUUCAAUUUUCUGUAGUUUUAAUUAAUUUUCUGAAUUUGUAUUUACUUAUCUGAUUUCUUAUUUAAUUUUCUAAUUUUUUAAAAAAAAUAUUUAUUUUAUUUAUUAAUAAUUUUUUUUUUAAACCGACACAUCAUCAUAAUUACCUGUUGUACAUGUCAGUUUUUGGCUUGAUGAACACGUAAAUCAAAUUGAAGGUUUUUUGUGAUAUAAAUGCCACUUUAAAGAUUUAAAGUGCUAGUGAAAAUUCUUCAAAGUUUAAAGUGUCACUAGAUGUCACUUUCAAAAAUUUUUAUGCAAGACUUGGUAAAACGAAAUUAGAAAAACUACUAUCAUGUUUGAAUUUUUUACAUAUACAGACCCAUUUUAAGUUUCUAUUUACAUACAUUUUACACGUGCACACAUAUUGCAUACGACAACAAGAACGAACUAGAUCCUUUCUUAAUCUUCCUCGCUUUUUCUCGAUCCAUGACGAAAUUGAAGAAGCCCAGGGAAGCUCUCGUAGAAGCUUCAGAAGAUGGGUUACUUGUCAAAUCUCAAGACCCCGAGUUCCUCCUCCGUGAAUGCACCGGUUUUUCAUGUCGCCGUCCCGCCUCGUCUCCGUCAGCCACGAACACGGUGAAGAGCUUGGAUCAAGUGUAUUUCAUCCAAGUGAUUGAUUGGCGACCACAGAUUGAAGCUUGGGUCAAGAGCUUCGAAUCGAGCGCUUAGAUCCUCGGGAGACGUGUGAUCUUGAUCCGUCAUUCGCCGCAUCCGAACCUUUGUAGAGGUGAUUGACUUGACGCCGCCGACUUAUGUUAGGACUUUCCAGGCGUUGCAUUUGACGGGUGUGAUGCUUUGUUAAUGCUAAGUCAGAGCUUUAGGGUGAUUCAUGUUGAGUUUAACUAAAGGAUGCCUAAUACUUGAGAGGAUCGUAGUAAAGUCAAGGUCUAAUGCUGUUCAUGCAAGAACCAUUAGAGUAACUAGAAGAGAUUCUUUUAUACUGCCAUUAUGUUGAAACUCUACUUUUUCACGGUAUUGUGGAUGAUUUUGGUGUUCCUGGAAGAACAAACCCAAGAUCAGCUGAGUUCCAACCAGCUUGGGUGUUUGCAAAUGGAAUGUUCGGUUUGUUUUUUUGUUUGAAUAGCCGUAAAGCAAGGUCUUGGAGAUUUGGUACUGGUAAGAAACCUUAUUGUAAUUAAAACAGUGAAUCUGGCUAAGUAUCAUGUCCACAAAGA